rnacentral:tRNA from 1 species
GGGCGGGUAGCUCAGCAGGUAGAGCAGCGGCCUUACAUGCCGCGGGUCGCAGGUUCGAGCCCUGUCCCGCCCA